GACGUCGAUAUUCGACGUCAUAAACGCGAUCAACUUAGGUGUUUAUGAUGUCGAUAUUCGACGUCAUAAACCCUUUCAAAUUUGGUGGGUAACUUAGGUUCGAAAAAAAUGAAAUUUUUUUUUAAAUAUUCGUCGAUAUUCGACGUCAUAAACACGAUCAACUUUGGUGUUUAUGACGUCGAUAUUCGACGUC
rnacentral:miRNA from 1 species